UCGGGCUAAUUCAUCAUUAAUGUGCUUUCGGAUUCCGAUUUCGACUCAGUAUUGACAUGUUUGCCUCGACGAUUCGACCUAAAGGCAUCGCGAUUCCAAUUUCAACGGUUCGACAUCGCAUUUCCAACAGUUCAAUCCGGUUUCGUCGUGGUGGUUGCGGCGACAUUACCGGCUUCACAGGAUGGAUGAAACUUGGUUGUAGAGCCGAGAGACUUUCUGCAGAAGAGACUCUGAUGUAGAAUUGCAGAAGAUGAGGAUGGUGAAGUACAAGGUCAAAAAUGCAGAGUGAAGAUGAUGAUGAUAGUGAUGCAGAUGAAGAAGGGUUGAAGAUUGAAGAAGAGGUGAAGAAGAAGAUUGAAGUUCUGGUUGAUGAAAUGGUGAAGAUUGAAGGUGAAUGAUUGAAGAAGAUGCUGAAGAUAAAUGAAGAUUUUUUCUUGAAUGGGUGAAGAAGGUGCAGAAUGAAGGAGAUGCUGAAAAUGAAUUCCUCCUCUUGGCUGCAGAAUAUGGAUUCCUAAUUAUAAACUCUCUCCCUUUCAACUCUGUUGGAAUUCAGGUGAAAUCCUCUCUAAAUCUCUUUGAAAUUAACAAUCAGUUAGGAGUUAGUUACCACAUGUGAAUGUUAAGUGAGGUGGUAUCCUUUCAUAUUGGAGAACCUCUAUGGUGCAUGAUAUGUUAAGAUGUAUAACAUCUUCAUGGUUCAGUUGGAGACCAUGCUCCCUCCUACUACAAAUGCGCCCAAGGCAAAUGCAUACGGUUCGAAUGAGGGACAAGCACAUAAAUGCUAUGUAUUUGAAUAAAUUAGAAAUGGUUUGUAAUUGAAUCAAAAAUGUGUAUUAUCAAAUUUGGGAUUUAUUGUAACUUUGAAAUUGGAUCAAUGGUUUAUGGUUUGCAUAUUGGA